GGUGGAGGGCUGGCGUGCUCAAUAUUGCAUGCAAAAUUACCUGCAAAUACAUAACCAAAGCUAUGGAGAAUUCCUUUUUGUCCAACCACUAUCUUAUUUCGACAAACCCAUCGCAAAAUUUAUUUAGAAAAAACUCACACCAAUUCACAAACCCAUCGCAAAAUUCAUUCAGAAACUUACAAAGAUACAAAUCUCAGAGAAAUUUACAAAUCCAUUCACAUCAUCACACAUAUCUUGGUUUCAAAUUUCAAACAAAAUAUCUUUUACCCCUCUGAAAGUUGGACUCAGAAGAGUUGUUGGACUGCCGGUGAGUAUGGAUUCUUGGCUAGCCCGGAAGAAGAGAGAGACAUCAGAAGAUGCAACAGAGGAUUUAGGGGGGGGGGGGGGAGAGAAAGAUAUGAUUUGUCAUGGAUGAGGGAGAGAGUAAAGAUCCGGAUGGGGAGAAAAAAAGAAAAAAGAAGAGGGAUGAGGGGGUGAAUAAUGAAUAUGGAGGAUGGAGAAAGGAAAAAGAAAGAACAAAGAAGAUGGAAGAUGGAGGACGGAGAGAAAUGGCGCGGCUGGGGUGAAAGAAAGAGUAAAGUGAGAGAAUA
rnacentral:lncRNA from 1 species